GGAAUAUUGGUCAAUGGCCGAGAGGCUGAACCAGCCAAGUAGCGUGAGGGAUGACUGCCCUAUGGGUUGUAAACCUCUUUUGUUUGGGAAUAAAGUCGGGGACGCGUCCCCGUUUGUAUGUACCUUACGAAUAAGCAUCGGCUAAUUCCGUGCCAGCAGCCGCGGUAAUACGGAAGAUGCGAGCGUUAUCCGGAUUUAUUGGGUUUAAAGGGAGCGUAGGCGGGAGCUUAAGUCUGCGGUUAAAUGUCGGUGCCCAACAUCGUCAUGACGUGGAAACUGGGUUUCUUGAAUGCGGUCAAGGGAGGCGGAACUCGCCAUGUAGCGGUGAAAUGCUUAGAUAUGGCGAAGAACCCCGAUUGCGAAGCCAGCCUCCUGGCCCGUGAUUGACGCUGAGGCUCGAAAGCGCGGGUAUCGAACA
rnacentral:rRNA from 1 species